rnacentral:rRNA from 1 species
GACGAACGCUGGCGGUGUGCUUCACACAUGCAAGUCGAACGAGGUAGCAAUACCUAGUGGCGGACGGGUGAGUAACGCGUGGGAAUCUGCCUUUAGAUGGGGGAUAACGGGUCGAAAGACUCGCUAAUACCGCAUAUGACGAAAGUUGAAAGGAGUAAUCCGUCUAAAGAUGAGCCCGCGUCCGAUUAGCUAGUUGGUAGAGUAAAAGCCUACCAAGGCGACGAUCGGUAGCUGGUCUGAGAGGAUGAUCAGCCACAAUGGGACUAGAGACACGGCCCAUACUCCUACGGGAGGCAGCAGUGGGAAUUUACGCAAUGGGCGAAAGCCUGACGUAGCGACACCGCGUGAGCGAAGAAGCCCC